AGAAACUCAUUGCAGUUUCAUCACAAGGAGCUACCAUGUUGUGGUUCAACGUACCUACACAGUAGAGAAAACAGCAUGGUAUAGUGGCGAAUGGUGAGGAGACAGCCAGGUGGAAGAGAUAGCUUCACAUGGAAAGCUAGAAGUAUGAGAAUUGAUUGUACAUCCAGACAGCCAGUGACUGUGUCAUUGGGUCCGUUGCAGAAGAUAUGGAUGGAGAAUAAUGGGACGUGGAGAAUAAUCAGACCUAUAUUCCAAGAUCUUUAUCAAGAAAAAAAAUGAAU